ACCCGCACAAGCGGUGGAUGAUGUGGUUUAAUUCGAUGCAACGCGAAAAACCUUACCCACCUUUGACAUGGCAGGAAUCCUAAAGAGAUUUGGGAGUGCUCGAAAGAGAACCUGCACACAGGUGCUGCAUGGCUGUCGUCAGCUCGUGUCGUGAGAUGUUGGGUUAAGUCCCGCAACGAGCGCAACCCUUGCCAUUAGUUGCUACGAAAGGGCACUCUAAUGGGACUGCCGGUGACAAACCGGAGGAAGGUGGGGAUGACGUCAAGUCCUCAUGGCCCUUAUAGGUGGGGCUACACACGUCAUACAAUGGCCGGUACAGAGGGUUGCCAAGCCGCGAGGUGGAGCCAAUCCCUUAAAGCCGAUCGUAGUCCGGAUCGUAGUCUGCAACCCGACUACGUGAAGUCGGAAUCGCUAGUAAUCGCAGAUCAGCAUGCUGCGGUGAGUACGUUCCCGGGUCUU
rnacentral:rRNA from 1 species